rnacentral:rRNA from 1 species
AACAAAAACAUGUCCUUUAGAAUAGAAUUUAAGGUUUAACCUGCCCAUUGAGGAAUUAAAAGGCCGCAGUAUUUUGACUGUGCAAAGGUAGCAUAAUCAUUAGUUUUUUAAUUGAAAGCUUGUAUGAAUGGUUGGACGAGAUAUAAACUGUCUUUAAAUUAUAGUUAGAAUUUAAUUUUUAAGUUAAAAAGCUUAAAUAUAUUUAAAAGACGAUAAGACCCUAUAGAUCUUUAUAAAUUAAUAUAAAUAAUUUUUAUGGAUUAAAAAUUUUUAUAUAUAUUUAUUUAUUUUAUUGGGGUAAUAAAAAGAUUAAAAAAAUUCUUUUUUUUAUUUACAUAGAUAAAUGAUUUUUAUGAUCCAGUUUUAUUGAUUAUAAGAUUAAGUUACCUUAGGGAUAACAGCGUAAUUUUUUUAAAGAGUUCUUAUCGAUAAAAAAGUUUGCGACCUCGAUGUUG